GGGAGUGUAAAGGUUUCGACGGGGUUGCAAGGUCAUAGGUAGCAAGCCAGGUUUGUCGCUGUGAAAGACUAACUCAUCGUUUAGAUGGAAACAAAAAUUACGCUUUAGCUGCUUAGUUCAGCUACACCUUUGAUAACUUUUUCCACAUGAGUUUUCAAAAGGUGUCGACUAAUGUGGAUUACUUCAAAUGAUUUCUCUAAAUUUGAAGGAAAUUCUAGAGAAUAGCUAUAAUUAGCCCUGUUUACGGGAGUAAUUACAGCGAAUUUUAAUAGUAAACUAAGCUUGUAGAAGCUUAUGGUUGUUGUAGUUUCGGACACGGGUUCAAUUCCCGUCACUUCCACCA
rnacentral:sRNA from 1 species